GGUAGCGUGGCCGAGUGGUCUCAGGCGCUGGGUUUAGGCUCCGGAGGCGUGGGUUCGAAUCCCACCGCUGCCA
rnacentral:tRNA from 1 species